GGGCUAUAGCUCAGUGGAAGAGCUUUCGCCUUGCGCACUGAAGGUUCCGGGUUCAAUCCCAGGCAUGUCCA